rnacentral:misc_RNA from 1 species
AACGCACAUUGCGCCCGUUAGCAUUCUAGCGGGCAUGCCUGUUCGAGCGUCAUUUACACCCUCAGGACUUGUUUUCCUGGUGUUGGGGAGCCUGUAGGCAUAGCCUUCAAGUCCCUAAAAGCUAGUGGCGGGUUCUGUCAUAUCCCGAACGUAGUAAUUUUUCUCGUUUAGGGUGUAUGGUUGACCCUAGCCUUACACUAUUUUAUUUCAAAGUUGACCUCGGAUCAGGUAGGAAUACCCGCUGAACUUAA